CCGGAGCCGGAGCCGGAGCCGGGGUACGCUCCGUCUGCGCCGACCCGGCUGACUCCAGCGGAACGAUCGGAGAGCGGCGGUUCUCAUCCGAGGACCGGGGUUCGGGUGCAGGCGCCGCCCGGUGGCAAGUCGUCUGCCCUCUGGUGACCGGUGCGCGUGCCCAAACACCCCCGCUGGCGGGCCGAGCCGACAGCGCCGGCCGAAGGCGCCCAUUCAGAGGUGUGGGUAGGUGUCGGGUGUCGCGUUAGGAUAUAACAUCUGUACUACAGUCUUACUAACAUUAGUAUUUGGCGGAUGGUUCGCAUCAUGCAUUGUUGAACGCAAUGAACUGUAUUCGGGUGUAUACACGCAUUUGUUAACUGCUGCCACGCAUAUGCGUCUCUACAUUCCACACUGCCAACGGCUUGCCAGCAAUCGAGCUUUGGAUUAUGUUGUGAGCAAAUCUGUUUUAUAGUUACUAACACUUGAAUAAGGGAACGGCCGAAGGUGGCGAAUAACGCUCCAAAAGACGGGUGUUGUAGUUUUGGGAAUGCCAGCUGCUUUCUCGUGUUUUGGGCAUCAGUUUAAGCGUGCAAAAAUCGAAUAUAUCUUUUAACCCAAUGGA